CCUACGGGAGGCUGCAGUAAGGAAUAUUGGACAAUGGGCGCAAGCCUGAUCCAGCCAUGCCGCGUGAAGGAUGAAGGCGCUCAGCGUUGUAAACUUCUUUUGGACGGGAACAAUAACCCUGGUGCGCCAGGGCUUGAGGGUACCGUCAGAAUAAGCACCGGCUAACUCCGUGCCAGCAGCCGCGGUAAUACGGAGGGUGCAAGCGUUAUCCGGAAUCACUGGGUUUAAAGGGUGCGUAGGCGGCCUUGUAAGUCAGUCGUGAAAUCGCUGGGCUCAACCCAUGCAAUUGCGAUUGAUACUGCGAGACUUGAAUGGGGUUAAGGCAGGCGGAAUGUGGCAUGUAGCGGUGAAAUGCAUAGAUAUGCCAUAGAACACCGAUUGCGAAGGCAGCCUGCUGGGCCUUUAUUGACGCUGAGGCACGAAAGCGUGGGGAGCAAACAGGAUUAGAUACCCGAGUAGUC
rnacentral:rRNA from 1 species